GGGGGUGGAAAGGUGCAACCCCGAGUGAUGAUGACAAAUCCAGACGGAACACAUGCAAUCAUGGAAAAAGCCCCCACCGAUACCGCCCCGGAAUAUGCCCCCCCCCUUCGCAGGACUACGGUGACGGAACCAGCUUUUGCGUUUCCAUGGAGAAGUCCAACACUUACCAUACCUUACUAUAUAAAUACCAUGACAAAUCCCUCGCAACUACUGACGGAGCCAGAAAAACCCCCGAACUCCCCUCCCUCCCCAAAUUUCGAAACCGCAAUUAUAUAGCAACCCAACAAAACCCACUAAAAUUCACAAAAACGAGGCCUAGGAAGGCCUGACCAAGAACAGAGCAGAAACCACAAGACCCCCGGAAGAACCUCCACAUGGACAAGUUCAAAUAUAGUCUUCUUUUCAUGGGAACGAAUCUCCGUCGUCCAUCCGACGGCAGCAGGAACAUGGGCAAUGACUAACCAGCCCUGGCACACUGCACCACUCCUCUGCCCGGACGUGCACGCCCGCCCCCUCGCGCUUAGCUGGCUGCUGAGCUGGCUGGCUGAAGUGGAACCCUUCAACCGCCUUCCCCGAUCCCCUGGUCUUGGACGCUCCGCCCUGAGUCGUUUAAAUUUUUCCGUGGAGAUCAAAGCUUCCCGUAAAGCUAGUUUCAUCGAUCUCGACACUUGGCCUUCGUACGAAGUGUCCCAUAUGAUAGUGGCUUGUUGGAGAUAUCAUGAAACGAUGUGCCAGUUUUGGACAGAGGUGUGGAGGGGCAUUGACGAGGGAGAUUCUAAGCCCCGUGUUGAAUGAGCUUUACAGUGAAGACGAAGAAGAAGCAGAAGAAGAAGAAGAAGAAAAGCCCCUUUGUACAGGACAUUCUCUGGAGAAUGUGGGGAAGUGGAAGUGGAAGUGAGGAUCAGUUAAAAGGACAUUAUGGAUCUGUAUGAGCCAUUUUUAUCUUUCCAGCCCACAAGAUGAUUCAUUGCAUAUCAUUAUGAGCAAAAGCUACAAUCAUAAGAAGAAUGGGGGCUGGCACACUAGCAAAGUGUGGAUUCUUCUUUUUUCUCUCACCCUCUUCUUCUUAUUAUUAUAUAUAUAUAUAUAUAUAUAUAUAUAUUGAGAGAGAGAGAAAGAGUGACAUAUGAACUACCCUCUUGCCCAAUACCUUUUAGCAGCUUGACAUCUUUAAGUAACAAUAAUAUCAACAAUAGAAAAAGAAAAAGAAAAAGAAAAAUGACUGUCUUUGAAGGUUGGAGACCACUUCAUUUUUCUUUUCUUUUCUUUUCUUUCUUUUUUUCGCUUUUUGAAUUUGUUUGGUCUUCACAAAAAUCAAAUUGUGCUGAAGGACCAUGUCAAAGAAUGCUGAAUGAUAAAUUCCAUCAUGCAAUCUUGAAAACAUCAAAAAGAAAAAAAGGAAAAAAAGAAGAGAGUAAAAAAGAGUAAGAAAGAAUACCAUGUUUAUGACCGUUGAAGAUGUGUACGGUGGAAGAAUAAAUAAAAAAUGGUUUGUGGUUUGAAAUUUAAAGGAAUUGAAAUAUGAGGGCAUUUUAGGGCACACAGUCAAGUGAAAUGGCCAGGUCAGAAUGUCAGAUUCCAUUGUGACAUAAAAUCAUGAAACCUGUCAUGGCUUCAACAAAAAGAAGAGCUGCAUCAUAUACAACACACCAAAUCUUCAAACCCUAGUGGUUGAGCUUUCAUGCAGUAACCAUUUAUUUGUAUACUUUUUAAUAUUAAUGGACAGAGAGCAAAAAAAUAAAAUAAAGUUGAAGUUCUGCAGCCAAUAGAGAUUGAAUAUUUCACCUCUUGUUGGGUAAGUUCUUACAAUUGGGUCCUGCAAGCUUCCAUUAAGAGUGAAUGAUAGGUUGAUUAAACAUGAUUUUGGCUGGAUUACUUUUAUACAAAUAAAAAGAAUAAAAAGAAAAAAAGAUGGUUCAGUUGAAGGAUUCCAUAAUAAAUCAUUCCCAUUUACUUUGGAACAAUCUUUCACAA